UACGUAGGGUGCGAGCGUUGUCCGGAAUUAUUGGGCGUAAAGAGCUCGUAGGCGGUUUGUCGCGUCUGCUGUGAAAACUCGGGGCUUAACUCCGGGCCUGCAGUGGGUACGGGCAGACUAGAGUGCGGUAGGGGAGACUGGAAUUCCUGGUGUAGCGGUGAAAUGACGCAGGAUAUCAGGAGGAACACCGGUGGCGAAGGCGGGUCUCUGGGCCGAUACUGACGCUGAGGAGCGAAAGCGUGGGGAGCGAACAGG
rnacentral:rRNA from 1 species